rnacentral:tRNA from 1 species
UGUAAAAUAAGCUAAACACUAAGCUUUUGGGUUCAUACCCCAAAUAUGAAUGGACUAUUCUUUUACAA